UACAUGUGGGGCAAGCGUUGUUCGGAAUUACUGGGCAUAAAGGGUGCGUAGGCGGGUCUUUUAAGUCAGGGGUGAAAUCCUGGAGCUCAACUCCAGAACUGCCUUUGAUACUGAGGAUCUUGAGUUCGGGAGAGGUGAGUGGAACUGCGAGUGUAGAGGUGAAAUUCGUAGAUAUUCGCAAGAACACCAGUGGCGAAGGCGGCUCACUGGCCCGAUACUGACGCUGAGGCACGAAAGCGUGGGGAGCAAACAGG
rnacentral:rRNA from 1 species